rnacentral:rRNA from 1 species
CUAUGGGAGUCCGACUAAGCCAUGCGAGUCGAGAGGGUUCGGCCCUCGGCGCACUGCUCAGUAACACGUGGGUAAUCUACCCUCGGGUGGGGGAUAACCUCGGGAAACUGAGGAUAAUACCCCAUAGUUCUGGGAGGCUGGAAUGCACCCAGGACGAAGGCUCCGGCGCCCGAGGAUGAGCCUGCGGCCUAUCAGGUUGUAGUGGGGGUAACGGCCCCACUAGCCGACGACGGGUACGGGCCUUGGGAGAGGGAGCCCGGAGAUGGACUCUGAGACACGAGUCCAGGCCCUACGGGGCGCAGCAGGCGCGAAACCUACGCAAUGCGCGAAAGCGCGACGUGGGGACUCCCAGUGCUCAUGGGCGAAAUGCCUGUGGGCUUUUCCCAAGUCUAAACCGCUUGGGGAAUAAGGGCUGGGUAAGACCGGUGCCAGCCGCCGCGGUAAUACCGGCGGCCCGAGUGGCGGCCACUAUUAUUGGGUCUAAAGCGUCCGUAGCCGGCCAGGUAAAUCCUUGGGUAAAUCGAACGGCUUAACCGUUCGACCCCCUAGGAGACUGCCUGGCUUGAGACCGGGAGAGGCCGGAGGUACUCUAGGGGUAGGGGUGAAAUCCUGUAAUCCCUAGGGGACCACCUGUGGCGAAGGCGUCCGGCUUGAACGGGUCUGACGGUGAGGGACGAAGGCCAGGGCGCAAACCGGAUUAGAUACCCGGGUAGUCCUG